rnacentral:rRNA from 1 species
CAUCUUUUAUAGGAUGUUACGUCUGCGUGAAUACAUAGCGCAGUCGAGGUAGACGCAGAGAACUGAAACAUCUAAGUACCUGCAGGAAGAGAAAGAAAAUUCGAUUCCCUGAGUAGCGGCGAGCGAAACGGGAAAAGCCCAAACCAACAAGCUUGCUUGUUGGGGUUGUAGGACUCCGAUAUGGUAGUCUAUUCAGAUAGUCGAAAUACUUGGAAAAGUAUGUCAAAGAGGGUAAAAACCCCGUAGGCGAAAUUUGGAUAACACCUAGGAGGAUCCUGAGUACGGCGGAACACGAGGAAUUCCGUCGGAAUCCGGGAGGACCAUCUCCCAAGGCUAAAUACUCCCUAGUGACCGAUAGUGAACCAGUACCGUGAGGGAAAGGUGAAAAGCACCCCGGAAGGGGAGUGAAAUAGAU